GACAGAGGUCCCGAGCGUUAGGCGGAAUCACUGGGCUUAAAGGGCGCGUAGGCGGGCUCACAAGUCAGGGGUGAAAGCCCACGGCUCAACCGUGGAAGGGCCUUUGAUACUGUGGGCCUCGAGGGGGGUAGGGGCGUGCGGAACUUCCGGUGGAGCGGUGAAAUUCGUAGAUAUUGGGAAGAACACCGGUGGCGAAGGCGGCUAUCUGGACCGACAUUGACGCUGAGGCGCGAAAGCGUGGGGAGCAAACAGG
rnacentral:rRNA from 1 species